GAUCAUGGCUCAGAACGAACGCUGGCGGCGCGCCUAAUACAUGCAAGUCGAACGAGAAUGUGUAGCAAUACACAUGUACAGUGGCGAACGGGUGAGGACUACAUGGGUAACCUACCCUCGAGUGGGGAAUAACUAGCCGAAAGGUUAGCUAAUACCGCGUACGCUUCCAAGACUGCGGUUUUGGAAGGAAAGCGAUACCGUGGGCAUCGCGCUCUUGGAUGGGCUCAUGCCCUAUCAG
rnacentral:rRNA from 1 species